GACGAACGCUGGCGGCGUGCCUAAUACAUGCAAGUAGAACGCUGAAGGAGGAGCUUGCUUCUCUGGAUGAGUUGCGAACGGGUGAGUAACGCGUAGGUAACCUGCCUGGUAGCGGGGGAUAACUAUUGGAAACGAUAGCUAAUACCGCAUAAUAGCAGUUAUCGCAUGAUAACUGUUUGAAAGGUGCAAUUGCACCACUACCAGAUGGACCUGCGUUGUAUUAGCUAGUUGGUGGGGUAACGGCUCACCAAGGCGACGAUACAUAGCCGACCUGAGAGGGUGAUCGGCCACACUGGGACUGAGACACGGCCCAGACUCCUACGGGAGGCAGCAGUAGGGAAUCUUCGGCAAUGGACGGAAGUCUGACCGAGCAACGCCGCGUGAGUGAAGAAGGUUUUCGGAUCGUAAAGCUCCGUUGUAAGAGAAGAACGAGUGUGAGAGUGGAAAGUUCACACUGUGACG
rnacentral:rRNA from 1 species